rnacentral:rRNA from 1 species
UACGUAGGGGGCAAGCGUUGUCCGGAAUUGUUGGGCGUAAAGCGCGCGCAGGCGGUUCGUUAAGUUGGGUGUUUAAGCCCGGGGCUCAACCCCGGUUCGCAUCCAAAACUGGCGAACUUGAGUGUAGGAGAGGAAAGUGGAAUUCCACGUGUAGCGGUGAAAUGCGUAGAGAUGUGGAGGAACACCAGUGGCGAAGGCGACUUUCUGGCCUAUAACUGACGCUGAGGCGCGAAAGCGUGGGGAGCAAACAGG